GAUGAACGCUGGCGGCGUGCUUAACACAUGCAAGUCGAACGGAAAGGCCCAAGCUUGCUUGGGUACUCGAGUGGCGAACGGGUGAGUAACACGUGGGUGAUCUGCCCUGCACUUCGGGAUAAGCCUGGGAAACUGGGUCUAAUACCGGAUAGGACCACAUUUUGGAUGGUGUGGUGGAAAGUUUUUCGGUGUGGGAUGAGCUCGCGGCCUAUCAGCUUGUUGGUGGGGUAAUGGCCUACCAAGGCGUCGACGGGUAGCCGGCCUGAGAGGGUGUACGGCCACAUUGGGACUGUGAUACGGCCCAGACUCCUACGGGGGGCAGCAGUGGGGAAUAUUGCACAAUGGGCGCAAGCCUGAUGCAGCGACGCCGCGUGGGGGAUGACGGCCUUCGGGUUGUAAACUCCUUUCGCUAGGGACGAAGCGUUUUUGUGACGGUACCUGGAGAAGAAGCACCGGCUAACUACGUG
rnacentral:rRNA from 1 species